rnacentral:guide_RNA from 1 species
AAUCACAAUAACAAUGGUAUGGUUUAGAGCUUAUAUAGUAGUAUAUGA